rnacentral:rRNA from 1 species
AGAGUUUGAUCCCUGGCUCAGGAUGAACGCUAGCGGCAAGCUUAAUACAUGCAAGUCGAGGGGCAGCAUGACUGUAGCAAUACAGUUGAUGGCGACCGGCAAACGGGUGAGUAACGCGUACAUGACCUGCCUGUCAGAAGGGGAUAGCCCUGGGAAACUGGGAUUAAUACCCUAUGGUAUUGAUAUUAUGAAUGAUAUCAAUUAAAGUUGAGGCGCUGACAGAUGGAUGUGCGUCUGAUUAGCUAGUUGGUAGGGUAACGGCCUACCAAGGCGACGAUCAGUAGGGGGCGUGAGAGCGUGGUCCCCCACACUGGUACUGAGACACGGACCACACUCCUACGGGAGGCAGCAGUGAGGAAUAUUGGUCAAUGGGCGCAAGCCUGAACCAGCCAUGCCGCGUGCAGGAAGACGGUCCUAUGGAUUGUAAACUGCUUUUAUUUGGGAAUAAACCUCCUUACGUGUAGGGAGCUGAAGGUACCCGAUGAAUAAGCCACGGCUAACUACGUGCCAGCAGCCGCGGUAAUACGUAGGUGGCAAGCGUUGUCCGGAUUUAUUGUGUUUAAAGGGUGCGUAGGUGGUUUGCUAAGUCAGUGGUGAAAGCUGGUUGCUCAACAAUCAAGUUGCCAUUGAUACUGUCAGACUUGAGAGAAGUGGAGGCUCAUGGAAUGGAUGGUGGUAGCGGUGAAAUGCAUAUAUAUCAUCCAGAACGUCAAUUGCGAAGGCAGUGGGCUGUACUUUUUUCUGACACUGAGCACGAAAGGCGGUGGGGGAUCAAACAGGAUUAGCAUACCCCUGUCAGUCCACGCUAGUAACGAUGCGACUAUCUUUUUUUGGUUAAGAGAUUAGGAGGCUAAAGGAAACCGAUAGUCCGCCAGCUGGAGGAGUACGCGGCACGAUGCACUCAAUAUUUGGACGGGCUCGCAAUGCGGGGAUACGUGGGUUUUACAUGUCGGAAUGGACAUACGUCGGAGAGAUACU